rnacentral:lncRNA from 1 species
GUUUGGUUUACUUUAGUAUUAAUCUACAAUGCAGACAAAAUAAUACAAAAAUACUUUAUUUAAGGUGUGUCCAAACUUUUGUCUGGUACUGUAUAUUAAUAAAAAUAAAUUCAAGAAAAUAUAUUAAGAUCCCCUGCUUUAUAUCAGUUCUGUAGUUUCAGGUUUGUUACAGACAGUCCCUCAUAUCGUGUUGUGGACCUGCGUGAAGUGGUAAUAAAACAGGGAAUGAACAGCAGAUUUAUGGAAACUUUGUUGGAGAUUGUCAAAUGCUGCCGUGUUAAGUGUUUUUAUCAGCAGGGUGAAGAAAGCUUUGGUCGACUUCUUCAUCGGAUCUGUCCGGUUCGUCGGUUGACGCAAAGGCCUCCACUCGCCCCGGCUCCCCGCUCUCUCUCUCCCUCUCCCUCUCUUUCUCUCUUUAAAGUCUACAGGUUUUUAGAGAAGCUUGCCCAGGAAUGUAGGACAACAUAG